AGUGAACGCUGGCGGUAGGCCUAACACAUGCCAGUCGAACGGCAGCACAGUAAGAGCUUGCUCUUACGGGUGGCGAGUGGCGGACGGGUGAGGAAUACAUCGGAAUCUACUUUUUCGUGGGGGAUAACGUAGGGAAACUUACGCUAAUACCGCAUACGACCUACGGGUGAAAGCAGGGGAUCUUCGGACCUUGCGCGAUUGAAUGAGCCGAUGUCGGAUUAGCUAGUUGGCGGGGUAAAGGCCCACCAAGUCGACGAUCCGUAGCUGGUCUGAGAGGAUGAUCAGCCACACUGGAACUGAGACACGGUCCAGCCUCCUACGGGAGGCAGCAGUGGGGAAUAUUGGACAAUGGGCGCAAGCCUGAUCCAGCCAUACCGCGUGGGUGAAGAAGGCCUUCGGGUUGUAAAGCCCUUUUGUUGGGAAAGAAAAGCAGCAGGUUAAUACCCCGCUGUUCUGACGGUACCCAAAGAAUAAGCACCGGCUAACUUCGUG
rnacentral:rRNA from 1 species